UGGAUUUGAUGGCAUGAAAGGUGUGGAUUAUGAUUUACGAGUUAUGUUACAUUCUAAACCAACCAUCCGGCAGAAGAUGUACAGAAAAAAUUCCAAUAAGUAGGGGUAAAAAUAGACCAGAUAAUAUCUGUUCAGAUCUAUUUUCAUUUCCGAAUCUAUCCAGAUAUGGAUAAAAAUUUGAGCAUCUAACUAACAUCUGUAUUCAAUAUCCAUAUUCGUCAAAGAAAAGCAAAUAUAAAUAUGCAUAGACAACUACCUGAUUCGCAUCCAAAUAUUCGUUUCUAUUUGUAACUCUAUUUAAUUUCAUAGCACUCAUGGACUUUUAAAAAAUAUAUAUAACCACAUUAACAUACUAUUAACUUGAUUUACCAUUUAUUUAGUAGUAUCUCUAAUUCUGUGGUCAUAAAAUUUAAUUAUCUGACUUAUAUCCGUAUUUAUAUCCAUACUUUCAAUAUCUAAUUUAUAUCCGUAUCCGUUUAAAACAAAUAUAGAUAUGAAUUUUUGCAUCCGACUAAUAUCCAUAUCUGUAUCUGUAUUCGUCAAACAAAACAAAUAUGGAUAUGGAUAUACUAGCAUCCGAUUUGAUUUCAGCCCUGCCAACAAAAGGUUAGCUUCGUUUGAAGAAAUAACUAGUCAAUUGACUGCACUAAAUUUUUAACAAACCUCCGCUCAUCCACUGUCAACAAGAAUGCAAAUCUAAAGUAAAUGUAGUGUCUUCUAUGCUGGUGGCAUCAUAUUUAGAAUCCAUGUCGUCAUUAUUUUUUUUUCAAAUUAUCUUCUAUUGUAACUACUUCGGAUUUCUAAUAUCAAC
rnacentral:lncRNA from 1 species